UCCAGCAAUGCCGCGUGUGUGAAGAAGGCCUCUCGGGUUGUAAAGCACUUUUGUCCGGAAAGAAAUCCUUGGCUCUAAUACAGCCGGGGGAUGACGGUACCGGAAGAAUAAGCACCGGCUAACUACGUGCCAGCAGCCGCGGUAAUACGUAGGGUGCGAGCGUUAAUCGGAAUUACUGGGCGUAAAGCGUGCGCAGGCGGUUUGCUAAGACCGAUGUGAAAUCCCCGGGCUCAACCUGGGAACUGCAUUGGUGACUGGCAGGCUAGAGUAUGGCAGAGGGGGGUAGAAUUCCACGUGUAGCAGUGAAAUGCGUAGAGAUGUGGAGGAAUACCGAUGGCGAAGGCAGCCCCCUGGGCCAAUACUGACGCUCAUGCACGAAAGCGUGGGGAGCAAACAGGAUUAGAUACCCUGGUAGUCCACGCCCUAAACGAUGUCAACUAGUUGUUGGGGAUUCAUUUCCUUAGUAACGUAGCUAACGCGUGAAGUUGACCGCCUGGGGAGUACGGUCGCAAGAUUAAAACUCAAAGGAAUUGACGGGGACCCGCACAAGCGGUGGAUGAUGUGGAUUAAUUCGAUGCAACGCGAAAAACCUUACCUACCCUUGACAUGGUCGGAAUCCUGCUG
rnacentral:rRNA from 1 species